CUGCACCUGCAGCACAUGGAAGUUCCCAGACUAGGAGUCAAAUCGGAGUUACAGCUGCAGCCAUAGCCACAGCCAUAGCCGCAGCCACAACAAUGCCAGAUCCAAGCCGCAUCUGCAACCUACACUGCAGCUUGUGGCAAUGCCGGAUCCUUAACCCACUGAGCAAGGCCAUGGUUUAAACCCGCAUCCUCAGAUGGACACUAUGUUAGGUUCUUAACUCUCUGAGCCACAAUGGGAACUCCAGAGUCUGAGCUUUUAAACAUAGCCCUGUCCCACCACACACGCAUGCAUGCAUGCGUGCACACCAGCAGCUGCCCUGGGUGCUAGUAUUGGCUUUGGGCUACAGAACCGCUGCCUCUAGCCUGGUCCCUGGGUGAACAGGUCACCUCUGGGUGUCAACAGGCAUGGCUCAGCAGGCUCUGGCUCUUGCCCUGGCCUUGCUCAGCCUUGGGAGGUGCAAUCACGGUGGCUCCAUGGUGACUUGGCCUUGCAGGUAGGCAGCUUCAGAUGUACUAGCCUUGAACUCCUGCUGUAGCCAGAUGCCUGGUCUUCCCGCCUUAUCAAUGCGAAGGGCUGGGGCUCCAUGGGUGUGCCAGGCCUUUGUGCCCAGCUGAGAAAACUGAGGCUCAGGACCCAUAGCCAAAGUCACAAGCCAUGACCAAUGGUCUCCCCUUGACCAGCUACCCCAUCCUGCUGGAGACCUGGCCCAGGCAGCAACUGUCACUUAGACCAGCUUUGGGGACCCACCCCCUCUGUAUUUUUAAGAUUGUCCCCUGGCUUCAUUCCUGCCAAGCCAGCAGAAGGGUUCAGUCUUUUGGGCUGCGGAGAUUGCUGAAAUGAAUGCCCUUGGACUAGGCAGUUAAUCUCCUUAAACCUCAGUUUCCUCCCUUCUCAAGUUGGAAAAAUAAUAAUACGUGGAGUCAUGGGGUAAUUGGGAGGCAUCGAGGAGAUAAUCUCUGUUCCGGUUUGUAUUAUAGCUGCGGACCAGCGUAGUAAGCGUGGAGUGAAUGCUUGUUUUCUGGUUGGAGGUGUUAUUUCCAUCAGCAUGGGGGGGUUGUCCUGCGCAGGCUCAUUUUCUCCCAUCCCCUCCUUACACGCUCGGCACGGCCCCACCUCAUCAGUGUUUGCGAACAUGGGUCUGGGGGCCCCUCCCCCACCUCUUCUGAGCGGGCAGGACGUGAUUCAUGCCUGUGCUAGUGGACACCGCCCUUGACACAACUGACCACGUCUGCAACUGAUCUCCUGAGAGGUUGUCUCUGGGGUUUAGAGAUGUUGCCAGGGGGGUAGGAAUAGGGCUUGGACCCUUCUGGAGCUGAGACUGGCCCCCCAAGAGCUGGAUCUUUUAAGGAUGCUCAUGUCCAGGUCUCUGAUGAAGGGACCACACCUACUGUGUGCUUGUAAAAUCUUGUCUUUGUAAUUACUGACUUGUGUGAGCAUUAUAUGUCUCCCCUGCCACCCGCAGGCUGGGCCUGUCUUGUUCACAUCUGUAUCCUGGUUCCCAGUACAGUGCCUGGCACAUAGUAGGGGACCAGUCAGCACAGAAUCAAUAAAUAAGCCACGCCCAGAGCUUUUACAUCCUUAGGAAGUGUCUCAGCUACCCUUGGAAGUAGAAAGGAUUAUAAACCCAUUUGACAGGUGAGGAAACAGAGGCUAAGGAAGAUGAGAAAGGUGACCAAGCUCACAAAGGCAGGAUCUGAGUUCAAGUGCAGGUGCUGUGAGCUGCUCUACCCAAAGCUUACCUGAUGCAGAUGCUCACUCGCCAGGUGCCGAGCUCAAAGCAGCUCUGCCUCUCUCUCCUCCUACCUGCCUUGAAGCCAGCACUUCUCACCUGGAUGUACAGGAUGGAGGAUGCUGACAUGUGAGAUGCUCUCCCCUGGGAGCAGGGGACUCAGGGAGGCUCCUGGCAAGUAGGCAGUAACUCCACCCUCUCCCACUCAGGGAAGCUUAUCAGAAUGCCAGGGAGGCGGGAGAGGAAGGUGAUUCUGGGAGAGCACAAAAUGCAUUCACAUAUGUGGCUUUGGUUUUGCGCAUCCCAUCCAGAUUCAGCCCUUGCCACUUUUUGCCACCCUGCUCCAUCCAGGUUAGGAGCAAUUUCUGUUUCUUCAAUGCCCUGAGCUCUUUUCUGACUCUAGACCCCAUGAUCUUCCCUUGGCUGGCUUCCUCUGAUACGUUUGGUCAUGCAGCUGAAAUAUCACCUCCUCCAGGAAGCCUUCCUUGAUCACCUGAUCUGUGGGGUUCAACCGUGAUUCACAUUACAGACCUCAUUCCCUUCACUGCCCCUCCCGCCACUGGCCCCAUCACCUGCUGCUAUCUUUGUCCUGGCAUGUUGGCUUAUCCAUUCCCUGCCCCUCCUACUCCCCAGCUCCAAAUCUGAGUUCCUGUUGUGGCUCAGUGGGUUAAGGAUCCAGCAUUGCUGUGAGCUGCAGUGUAGGUUGCAGAUGCAUCUGGGAACUAGCAUUGCUGUGGCUGUGGUAUGGGCUGGCAUCUGUAGCUCCAAUUUGACCCCUAGCCUGGGAACUUCCAUAUGCCUCGGGUGCGGACC
rnacentral:lncRNA from 1 species